rnacentral:lncRNA from 1 species
GGGGGGGGGGAGGAGGGCUGCUGUUUGAGUUUCUAAGAACGCAUUUUUAGUGGCAAGUAGAGUAUGAAUCACAUUCUGUUCUCAUCUUUAACUUCUCUUUCUUACUGAAACGGAAUAAUUUUUAAUCCUGAAACCUCUGCCUAGCUAUGCUUUGUGCUAGUCUGUGUCAGUGUUACUUGAACGAUGUUUUGUGUAGUAUUGUAGAAGUUCAAAAUGGUUUCUUUGGAACGCUAGAAUUGACUCUUUCAAUAAAAAGUUAUGUAGAUUCCCAUAAGCCCUAAUCAAAAUUAUUUGCUGAAGAUCAUUCUACCUACGAAAACUUCAUCAGUAUCAAAUGCCCACCAUAGACCAGGAUAAACACAUACUUCCCUGUGUAACUUUCCACAGAAUUACAGUGGCAUUAUGAAAAGCAAUGCAAAUUAUUAACGCUUGGCUUACAGGAUCUUGCUCAUGAAAUUGUGCACAUUAGUCUCCGAGGAUGUCACAUACAUACGGACCAUGUGUAAAUGACUAGCAGGCAAGACUCCAGCACACUGAAAGAUGAACAGCACUCUAAAAGGAUAGAGGAGCUAUGACCAGAGUUAAGUCCAAGGAGUUUGUAGUACAGCUGUGCAGCUCCAGCCUGAUAGUGAACCCCUCAGCUCUGCACAGUCACAGGCAAUUCUCAGCCAAGCCUCUUCAGUGUGACAAUUCACUGCAUCUUCAAGUAAAAGAGAAAAAUU